AACACGUGGGAAACCUACCUUUCAGUUGGGGAUAACAUUUCUAACGAGGUGCUAAUACCGAAUACAAUCUUUCCGUCGCAUGAUGGAUUGAUGAAAGGCGGCCUCUGUUUACAAGCUGUCACUGAAAGAUGGUCCCGCGUCCCAUUAGCUUGUUGGUGAGGUAACGGCUCACCAAGGCGACGAUUGGUAGCCGGCCUUAGCGGGUGAUCGGCCACACUGGGAUUGAGAUACGGCCCAGACUCCUACGGGAGGCAGCAGUCGAGAGGCAUCCACAAUGGGGGAAACCCUGAUGGUGCGACGCCGCGUGGGUGAUGAAGGUUUUCGGAUCGUAAAACCCUUUCAGCAGGGACGAAUGUAUCAGGUGUUAAUACCACCUAAUAAGAGACGGUACUUGCAGAAGAAGCUCCGGCUAACUCCGUGCCAGCAGCCGCGGUAAGACGGGGGGAGCAAGCGUUGUUCGGAUUUACUGGGCGUAAAGGGCGUCUAGGCGGAUCAACAAGUCAGGUGUGAAAUCCCAUGACUCAAUCAUGGAACUGCAUUUGAAACUGUUGGUCUUGAGUACGGAAGAGGAAAGUGGAAUUCCUGGUGUAGCGGUGAAAUGCGUAGAUAUCAGGAAGAACACCGGUGGCGAAGGCGGCUUUCUGGUCCGAUACUGACGCUAAAGCGCGAAAGUGUGGGGAGCAAACAGGAUUAGAUACCCUGGUAGUCCACACUGUAAACGAUGGAUACUAGGUGUCGGGGACCCGACCUCUCCGGUGCCGUAGCUAACGCAUUAAGUAUCCCGCCUGGGGAGUACGAUCGCAAGGUUGAAACUCAAAGGAAUUGACGGGGACCCGCACAAGCGGUGGAGCAUGUUGCUUAAUUCGACGCAACGCGAAGAACCUUACCGGGGCUCGACGUGUACCGGAAGGGUGUAGAAAUACAUUCCGCUCUUCGGAGCUGGUAUAUUAGGUGCUGCACGGCUGUCGUCAGCUCGUGUCGUGAGAUG
rnacentral:rRNA from 1 species